rnacentral:rRNA from 1 species
GACGAACGCUGGCGGCGUGCUUAACACAUGCAAGUCGAACGGAAAGGCCUCUUUCGGGGGGUACUCGAGUGGCGAACGGGUGAGUAACACGUGAGUAACCUGCCCUUGACUUUGGGAUAACUUCAGGAAACUGGGGCUAAUACCGGAUAGGAGCUCCUGCUGCAUGGUGGGGGUUGGAAAGUUUCGGCGGUUGGGGAUGGACUCGCGGCUUAGCAGCUUGUUGGUGGGGUAGUGGCUUACCAAGGCUUUGACGGGUAGCCGGCCUGAGAGAGUGACCGGCCACAUUGGGACUGAGAUACGGCCCAGACUCCUACGGGAGGCAGCAGUGGGGAAUAUUGCACAAUGGGUGGAAGCCUGAUGCAGCAACGCCGUGUGCGGGAUGACGGCCUUCGGGUUGUAAACCGCUUUCGCUCAUGACGAAGCUUUGUGUGACGGUAGUGGGUAAAGAAGCACCGGCUAACUACGUG